rnacentral:rRNA from 1 species
UACAGAGACUGCAAGCGUUAUUCGGAUCCACUGGGCGUAAAGGGUGCGCAGGCGGCCGUGUGUGUGAGGCGUGAAAGCCCGGGGCUUAACCCCGGAAUUGCACCUCAAACUACAUGGCUAGAGCAUUGGAGAGGGUAGCAGAAUUCAUGGUGUAGCAGUGAAAUGCGUAGAUAUCAUGAGGAAUACCAGAGGCGAAGGCGGCUACCUGGACAAUUGCUGACGCUCAGGCACGAAAGCGUGGGGAGCAAAAGGG